GAUGAACGCUGGCGGCGUGCCUAAUACAUGCAAGUCGAGCGAACAGACGAGGAGCUUGCUCCUCUGACGUUAGCGGCGGACGGUGAGUAACACGUGGAUAACCUACCUAUAAGACUGGGAUAACUUCGGGAAACCGGAGCUAAUACCGGAUAAUAUAUUGAGCCGCAUGGUUCAAUAGUGAAAGACGGUUUUGCUGUCACUUAUAGAUGGAUCCGCGCCGCAUUAGCUAGUUGGUAAGGUAACGGCUUACCAAGGCAACGAUGCGUAGCCGACCUGAGAGGGUGAUCGGCCACACUGGAACUGAGACACGGUCCAGACUCCUACGGGAGGCAGCAGUAGGGAAUCUUCCGCAAUGGGCGAAAGCCUGACGGAGCAACGCCGCGUGAGUGAUGAAGGUCUUCGGCUCGUAAAACUCUGUUAUUAGGGAAGAACAAAUGUGUAAGUAACUAUGCACGUCUUGACGGUACCUAAUCAGAAAGCCACGGCUAACUACGUG
rnacentral:rRNA from 1 species